AGCGAACGCUGGCGGCAGGCUUAACACAUGCAAGUCGAGCGGGCACUUCGGUGUCAGCGGCAGACGGGUAAGUAACACGUGGGAACGUACCCUUUGGUUCGGAAUAACGCUGGGAAACUAGCGCUAAUACCGGAUACGCCCUUUUGGGGAAAGGCUUGCUGCCGAAGGAUCGGCCCGCGUCUGAUUAGCUAGUUGGUGGGGUAAUGGCCUACCAAGGCGACGAUCAGUAGCUGGUCUGAGAGGAUGAUCAGCCACACUGGGACUGAGACACGGCCCAGACUCCUACGGGAGGCAGCAGUGGGGAAUAUUGGACAAUGGGCGCAAGCCUGAUCCAGCCAUGCCGCGUGAGUGAUGAAGGCCUUAGGGUUGUAAAGCUCUUUUGUCCGGGACGAUAAUGACGGUACCGGAAGAAUAAGCCCCGGCUAACUUCGUG
rnacentral:rRNA from 1 species